AUGCUCUCUUUGGCAGCACAUAUGCUACACUUGUAACUGGACAGAGGAGAUUAGCAUGGCCCCUGCACAAAGUUGACACAAAAUUCAUGAAAUGUUCCAUAUUUUU
rnacentral:snRNA from 1 species